UACGGAGGGUGCAAGCGUUAUCCGGAUUCACUGGGUUUAAAGGGUGUGUAGGCGGGUUAUUAAGUCAGUGGUGAAAUCUCCGGGCUCAACCCGGAAACUGCCAAUGAUACUAAUAGUCUUGAAUACCGUUGAGGUGGGCAGAAUAUGUCAUGUAGCGGUGAAAUGCAUAGAUAUGACAUAGAAUACCGAUUGCGAAGGCAGCUCACUAAACGGCGAUUGACGCUGAGGCACGAAAGCGUGGGGAUCAAACAGG
rnacentral:rRNA from 1 species